rnacentral:rRNA from 1 species
AGUUUGAUCCUGGCUCAGAUUGAACGCUGGCGGCAGGCCUAACACAUGCAAGUCGAACGGUAACAUUUCUAGCUUGCUAGAAGAUGACGAGUGGCGGACGGGUGAGUAAUGCUUGGGAACUUGCCUUUGCGAGGGGGAUAACAGUUGGAAACGACUGCUAAUACCGCAUAAUGUCUUCGGACCAAACGGGGCUUCGGCUCCGGCGCAAAGAGAGGCCCAAGUGAGAUUAGCUAGUUGGUAAGGUAACGGCUUACCAAGGCGACGAUCUCUAGCUGUUCUGAGAGGAAGAUCAAGCCACACUGGGACUGANACACCGGCCCAGACUCCUACGGGAGGCAG